rnacentral:rRNA from 1 species
UACGAAGGGGGCUAGCGUUGUUCGGAUUUACUGGGCGUAAAGCGCACGUAGGCGGAUUUUUAAGUCAGGGGUGAAAUCCCGGGGCUCAACCCCGGAACUGCCUUUGAUACUGGAAGUCUUGAGUAUGGAAGAGGUAAGUGGAAUUGCGAGUGUAGAGGUGAAAUUCGUAGAUAUUCGCAGGAACACCAGUGGCGAAGGCGGCUUACUGGUCCAUUACUGACGCUGAGGUGCGAAAGCGUGGGGAGCAAACAGG